rnacentral:rRNA from 1 species
AAUUGUUCGCAAUGGGCGCAAGCCUGACGACGCAACGCCGCGUGGAGGACGAAGAUCUUCGGGUCGUAAACUCCUUUCGAUCGGGACGAACGGCCGGUGACCCAACACGUCACCGGAGUGACGGUACCGAGAGAAGAAGCCCCGGCUAACUCUGUGCCAGCAGCCGCGGUAAUACAGAGGGCGCGAGCGUUGUCCGGAAUCACUGGGCGUAAAGGGCGCGUAGGUGGCGGCAUAAGGCCGCGGUGAAAGUUCGGGGCUCAACCCUGAAUCGGCCGCGGCGACUGUGUCGCUUGGGCACUGUAGAGGCAGAUGGAAUUCCGGGUGUAGCGGUGGAAUGCGUAGAGAUCCGGAAGAACACCGGUGGCGAAGGCGGUCUGCUGGGCAGUGGAGUCGCAAGACUCUUUUAGCCGACACUGAGGCGCGACAGCGUGGGGAGCAAAC